rnacentral:lncRNA from 10 species
CACCCAGCUCGCUGCUCCAAUGGCACUGACAAUUCAGACCCAUGCUCAAGCCUUGGUGAUUUGUUGAGGAAGAAAAUUCCCAUGCACCAGUGACAUGCUCAGCCAAGAAAGCUCCACACUUGGACUCCCACACACGCGCCCACCCUGUCAGAGCAUCUGGGUCAGGAGGUAACAGUCAAAUUACCUCUUCUCAAUCCCCUUCCCCUCUGAUGUCUAUGUCCUAAUCUCCAGAACCUAUGAAUGGAUUGUCUUUCAUGGAAAAGGGGUAUUUAGAUUGCUAAUCUACUGGCCUUGAGAUGGGAGAGUAUCCUGGAUGAUCUUUAUGGGCCCAAUGUGAUCACAAUGGUCCUUAAAAGUGGAAGAAGGUGUCCGAAGAGGACCAGAGAGACACCCAUGUGAGAAGGACUCGGCCUUAUGUUGCUGGUUUUGAAGACGGAGAAAGGGGCCACAAGCAAAGGAAAGUGGGGGGCUUCUAGAAGCUGGAAAAGGCAAGGAAACGGAUUCUCCCUUAUAGCCUCCAGAAUGGAACACAGCCCUGCCAACCCCUUGAUCUUAGUCCUGUGAGACCCCUGUUGGACUUUUGACUACAGAACUGUAAAAGAAUAAAUUUGUGUUGUUUUAAGUCACCAAAUUUGUAGUAAUUUGUUACUGCAGCAAUAGAAAAUAAUACACCAGCUUUAGGUAU